rnacentral:rRNA from 1 species
GGAGCGCGCUACCAUGCAGUCGAGCGGUACAGGGGAGCUUGCUCCUGCUGACGAGCGGCGGACGGGUGAGUAAUGCCUGGGGAUCUGCCUUAGUGAGGGGGAUAACCACUGGAAACGGUGGCUAAUACCGCAUAAUGUCGCGAGACCAAAGUGGGGGACCUUCGGGCCUCACGCACUAGGAUGAACCCAGGUGAGAUUAGCUAGUUGGUGAGGUAAUGGCUCACCAAGGCGACGAUCUCUAGCUGGUCUGAGAGGAUGAUCAGCCACACUGGGACUGAGACACGGCCCAGACUCCUACGGGAGGCAGCAGUGGGGAAUAUUGGACAAUGGGGGCAACCCUGAUCCAGCCAUGCCGCGUGUGUGAAGAAGGCCUUCGGGUUGUAAAGCACUUUCAUUGGUGAGGAAGGAUAUAAAACUAAUACUUUUAUGUAUUGACGUUAACCAAAGAAGAAGCACCGGCUAACUCCGUGCCAGCAGCCGCGGUAAUACGGAGGGUGCGAGCGUUAAUCGGAAUUACUGGGCGUAAAGGGCAUGCAGGCGGUUACAUAAGUCAGAUGUGAAAUCCCCGCGCUUAACGUGGGCAUUGCAUUUGAAACUAUGUAGCUAGAGUUCUGUAGAGGGGGGUAGAAUUCCAGGUGUAGCGGUGAAAUGCGUAGAGAUCUGGAGGAAUACCGAUUGCGAAGGCAGCCCCCUGGACAGUGACUGACGCUCAUAUGCGAAAGCGUGGGGAUCAAACAGGAUUAGAUACCCUGGUAGUCCACGCUGUCAACGAUGUCGAUUUGAAGGUUGUGGCUUUAAGCCGUGGCUUUCGGAGCUAACGCGUUAAAUCCACCGCCUGGGGAGUAC